GGAUGGAUCAUUCCCGAUUACCAACAUCAACCUUUGCACCUAACGCAUUAACAUCAAUCACACUAAAUUAACAACUUAUAAUCAAAAACUCUCAGCGAUGGAUGACUCGACUCUCGCACCGAGGAAGGACGCAGCAAACCGCGAUAAGCAGUAUGACUUGCGAAAUUUCGUGAUUCACCAGAUUUCUGAACGCAAAGGUACUCCUGGCCUCGGCUUGGAGUAUGGUUGGCUCGGUAUCGAUUAGAUAUUCAAAGUCGUCUUUGAGCGGCGGCUUUGAAAGACAUACAGUGUGAUACUCAAUCUCACUGUUUAAUUAUGAUGAUGUAUUCUGCUUGCAUCCCUAUCAGUAGACGUGUGGGAAACAUUCAGAAACACACUCCUCAACAAACAAAACUAAUGAUCCGAGCUCAACCAAGGCCACCCGCUGAAUUUAAGCAUAUAAUUAAGCGGAGGAAAAGAAACCAACUGGGAUUCCCUUAGUAGUGGCGAACGAAGUGGGAAAAGCCCGCGAUGUUAAUCCACCUUUGGUGGAGUUGUGCAUCGGGGUCUUGGCUAUCUGACAAUCAAGAAUAAGAUGCCUGGAAAGGCACGCCAGAGAAGGUGACAGCCCUGUUCUUGUCUUGCAUUGCUCAGAGUACAGCCUUGAUCCAAUGAGUCACGCUCUUUGGGAGUAGAGCGCAAAAGGGGUGGUAACCUCCAUCCACGGCUAGAUAACGGCGAGAGAUCGAUAGCAAACAAGUACCGUGAGGGAAAGUUGAAAAGCACUUCGAAAGGAGAGUUAAAAUACCUGAAAUCGCUGAGGGGGAAGCGGCUGUCCGUGACCCUGUGUACUGGUGGCUUGCCCUAGUGCAUUACUCGACAUCACUUCGACCGUUCUUGAUCGAGUUUGCUUCGGUUAACUCGUCCUCAUGAACUCUCGGAGUGUGGUUCACCUUUGACUGUUGUCGAGAGUGGCAUGUACAGACGACCCGUCUUGAAACACGGACCAAGGAGUUAAACGAAAGUGCGAGUGUAAGGGUGUCAAACCCAGACGCGUAGUGAAAGCAAAAGCUGUGAAUUCCAAUGCAACAGCGGCCGACUAUUAAGUUCGAGCUUGAGCAUUUUCGUUUAGACCCGAAAGAUGGUGACCUAUACCUGAGUUGGGUGAAGCCAGGGGAAACUCUGGUGGAAGCUCGUAGCGAUACUGACGUGCAAAUCGUUCGUCAAACUUGGGCAUAGGGGCGAAAGACUAAUCGAACCAUCUAGUAGCUGGUUCCCUC
rnacentral:misc_RNA from 1 species